AAUUGUUGUUGUUGUUCUCAGUUGUUGUUGUUGUCGGUUGUCGAUGGCGCGCUGUGUGAAGCUUGCGAAGCUUCAGUUGCCAUUAGAACUUCGACUUUGACGUUGUGCGAUCGCGAGCGCGUUCCGACAAAACGAAAGAAAGAAAGAAAACAAAGCAAUUACACUGCGCUACACAAUACCGUUGUUGGUAUACGAAACUGUUGCUAUUUAUAGCAUAACUAAAAGCUUUUUCAGUUUUAGUUGUGUUUCUGCCAGCGACGAGUGACACAGAGAAAGAGAGAAAUCUCUAAACGACG